GAAUCUUUGAACGCACCGUUGCACCUUUUGGUAUUCCAAAAGGUACACCUGUUUGAGUG
rnacentral:rRNA from 1 species